rnacentral:rRNA from 1 species
UACGAGUGCCCCGAGCGUUAUCCGGAAUCAUUGGGCGUAAAGGGUGUGUAGGUGGUUGUGUUAGUCUUCUGUUAAAUUCUUCGGCUUAACCGGGGGCAUGCAGGGGAAACGGCACAACUAGAGGAUGCGAGAGGUGAAUGGAACUCAUGGUGUAGGGGUGAAAUCCGUUGAUAUCAUGGGGAACACCGAAAGCGAAGGCAGUUCACUGGCGCAUUCCUGACACUGAGACACUAAAGCGUGGGUAGCGAAUGGG